rnacentral:rRNA from 1 species
GCCGGACCAACUUUUGCAUAUCAAUAAGCUGAGGAAAAGAAACCAACAGGGAUUGCCUCAGUAACGGCGAGUGAAGCGGCAAAAGCUCAAAUUUGAAAUCCCCCCGGGGAGUUGUAAUUUGAAGAUUGCGUCUUGGAGGCGACCGUGUCUAUGUUCCUUGGAACAGGACGUCACAGAGGGUGAGAAUCCCGUGCGGCACGGCCCCCGGCUCCUUAUAAGGCGCUCUCGACGAGUCGAGUUGUUUGGGAAUGCAGCUCAAAGUGGGUGGUAAAUUCCAUCUAAAGCUAAAUACAGGCGAGAGACCGAUAGCGAACAAGUACAGUGAUGGAAAGAUGAAAAGCACUUUGAAAAGAGAGUGAAACAGCACGUGAAAUUGUUGAAAGGGAAGGGCAUGCCGUCAGAUUGUCAGUGUGGGUAAGAAGCGGGGUACAAAGACUGUGGAACGUGGCCCUCGGGUGUUAUAGCCGCAGUUCAUGCCCCGUCUCUUUCCGAGGCCUGCUUUGAGGACACCGACGUAAUGACGGUACGCCGCCCGUCUUGAACCACGGACCAAAAAAGGGA